GUCUAAACGUUCUAACCGGCACCCUCGCGCCACGGCGCGAACCCGAUCUAGUUGGAUAAGAAGCAAGCGGCCAGGGAUAGCGAUCCCAUGCCAGCAUCCAUCCCCAAUCCCCACGACUGACGCGGGCGGCGACUGCCAUGGCCGGUCGGCCGUUUCUCCGGCAACUCGUGGAGAUACCACGACCCGGGUGGAGCGCUGCCGAGCCUCGCGUUGGAGGCCGGAGAAGGCUGCGCCAGAGGACUCCGGGGAGGGCGUGCCGGCCCGAUUGGGCACAGGCAAAGAUGCCCACGACCGGUCGACCGCACCACCGGCGGCAAGAGGAUCUCCCGUCCCGCUCGUCCUCGGAGUAGGAGUCACCGGGGAGGUGGGUGCCAGAUACGACGCCGUUGGAAGCGCCAUUCGCGAGCCCGAGCGCCGCUGGGCUCCAUGUGUCAGCGCCGGGGCCGGGUCGCCUCUGCGCCAGAUGCCCGUCGCUCGUGCGCCGGAUCACGCGGCCGAGGGCGGUCUCCCACCAUUGGACGCCGAUGAGGCGCCUUGCCGAUGGGGCCCGAGGGUUCGACCGCCGCCGUUCUUCGCGACGAGACUGUCCCUCAUAGAGGAAACAAAGGAUUCAUGGCCACAGCGCGCUGCAGAAACGUCGGUCCUGAGGGCGGCCGCAGUAGCGGGCACCACCACACCGACGAACACGCGAGCGAGCGAUGCUGUAGGGGGGAUCGUCGCGCAGAUGGAAUCGCUCCGCCGGGAGCGUGCUGAUAACGUGUUGAAAGGGAAAACAAGAGAACAAUCGAGAGAGCCUCGGCACAGAUGUAAAAGUGAAUAAGUGUCCUUUCAUUAGAUGAUUGUAGGUAUUUAUACAGGCAGAAGGGAUGCAUCCGUUCGGGAGAGAUGUCAGGAAUCGACGCGACAGUUGCCAACGCAAACUGGCUGCGGUUGGUACAAGGGGAGAUUCCCCCAUAAUUAACACAAGUUUAAUUGAGCUUUAACAAAGAGCACUCUGCUCGCUUGAGAAUCGACCAUGCCGACAGGAAGGUUCUUGAACCGAGAUCGAUUCAUCUUCAACCUUUUGUGGUGGAUAGUGUCAUAGGCGCAUCAGGUGCUAAAUGUGUAGUGUCAUAUGAGUUGUAUCUUGACACCGACGGAGCUAUGGAGGGCCAACUUGGUUCGUGGCCGCCUAAGGUUGGAGGAAAAAAAUAUUAGACCUUUUUUGGUUCAUAGGAUAAGAUUAUCGUAAAAUAGGAAUCUUGUAGAAAAUGAGAUGACAUGUAUCUCAAAUUCUAUGAGUAGGAAUAGGAAACAAGAUGUCAUUUGGUUGACACCAAAG
rnacentral:rRNA from 1 species